UGCCAGACUCCUACGGGAGGCAGCAGUGAGGAAUAUUGGUCAAUGGACGAGAGUCUGAACCAGCCAAGUAGCGUGAAGGAUGACUGCCCUAUGGGUUGUAAACUUCUUUUAUAAAGGAAUAAAACGAGGCACGUGUGCCUUUUUGCAUGUACUUUAUGAAUAAGGAUCGGCUAACUCCGUGCCAGCAGCCGCGGUAAUACGGAGGAUCCGAGCGUUAUCCGGAUUUAUUGGGUUUAAAGGGUGCGUAGGCGGGCUGUUAAGUCAGCGGUAAAAUGUCGGGGCUCAACCCCGGCCUGCCGUUGAAACUGGCGGCCUCGAGUGGGCGAGAAGUAUGCGGAAUGCGUGGUGUAGCGGUGAAAUGCAUAGAUAUCACGCAGAACUCCGAUUGCGAAGGCAGCAUACCGGCGCCCGACUGACGCUGAGGCACGAAAGCGUGGGUAUCGAACAGGAUUAGAUACCCCGGUA
rnacentral:rRNA from 1 species